CAAACCCGAUCGCUUAAGCACCUUCAAUUCAUAUUGGUGAUGGUGUUCAAUUAAAUAUAAUUAUUGCAAGAAAAAUAUGGAUAUUCCUCAACAUUCAUUGAACUGCGUUAGAUCUGGAUGGAGGCAGAGCAAGAAUGAAGAUGAGAUUAGGAGUUUUUUGUAAUUUUUUUUUUUUUAAAAAAAAGGAACGCUACUUUCCUAUUCCAACGCUAUACAUUAUAACGUUUGCCAAAAGCUAUCUAAACACUACUUCAAACUCUAACCACUACUCUAAACUCUAUCAUGCCAAACACUCAAUUAGUGUUUUGACCAAGUCAAAACACUAAAAGCUAGUUGAAAAGCUAUCGCCGAACAGGCCCAUAAUAUUGUAGGUCUGUAGCAAGGCACUUAUCCCACGAACUCCAUUCUUGUUCAUCUUUUCCUCCAAAAAAACCUAAAUCAGAAUAACAAAAAGCUAUUGUUAUCUCAAUUUAAAGCAAUGAGCUAAUCUUCAAACAAUCAAUUUUUUUAUGGCACUAAUGUUUGUGAAGGUUGUCCAAUCAUCUUCUCUGAUUUUUACCACUGAGUAGUUUCAGAUCUGCAACAAUUGAAAAUGAGCAUGAGAGUGACUCACAGAACAAUAAAGGUAUGAUUGACUUAGACCCACAAGUUAUUGCUCACUAUGGAAUCCCUUCUACGACUUCCUGUCUUGCUUACGAUCCCAUUCAGCAGCUUUUGGCAAUUGGAACUUUAUUCUAAGAGUGAACUUCAGUUGAUGAGCGGUUCAAUUCAGUCCAUAGACGUUUGGCACAGUCGUGGUGUUAGGAUCAAGAUGAUGGUGAAGGAAAAGAAGCCAAGGAUCCAUUAAAUUAGUACAACUCGUAAAGCUAUUAAUGAUUUGAAAAGGCCUUGUAAAAGAUAUAUUUCUUUUGUUAUGUUUUUUUAUAAGGUUUUAAGAAGUUGAUAGUAGACAUUAUCUAAUUGACUUAUUUGUGAUCGAACAGAAUAUUUUAGUGUGUAUUUAAUCAUUAGUUAAUUAAGACAGAUAUUAAUAUUAUUAUAUAUAUUAUUGGUCAUUUCUACGUA